rnacentral:rRNA from 1 species
CCUACGGGAGGCAGCAGUGGGGAAUAUUGCACAAUGGGGGAAACCCUGAUGCAGCGACGCCGCGUGAGUGAAGAAGUAAUUCGUUAUGUAAAGCUCUAUCAGCAGGGAAGAAAAUGACGGUACCUGAGUAAGAAUCCCCGGCUAACUACGUGCCAGCAGCCGCGGUAAUACGUAGGGGAGAAGCGGUAUCCCGAUUUACUGGGUUGAAAAGGAGCUUAGACGGCAGUGCAAGUCUGGAGUGAAAGGCGGGGGCUCAACCCCCGGAGUGCUGUGGAAACUGUACGGCUGGAGUGCAGGAGAGGUAAGUGGAAUUCCUAGUGUAGCGGUGAAAUGCGUAGAUAUUAGGAAGAACCCCAGUGGCGAAGGCAGCUUACUGGCCUGUAACUGACGUUGAGGCUCGAAAGCGUGGGGAGCAAACAGGAUUAGAUACCCCAGUAGUC